CGCCCCUCCGCGCGAGUCCCGAGUGCCGGGCGCGGAGGCGGAGGAAUGGGCAGAGUCGGUACCCGCGACCUCUGCCAUCGCCCGGAGAUGCCGAUGAGGCCCCGAGAUUUAGGCCUGCGAGGUGGGAGACGACGUCGGUCCAGCUCUUCACUGGAGAACCUCAGAAUUGAAGUUCGUGCUCCUAUCAGAAAAUCCACUGAGCCCAGGCGCCUGAGGGGCCAUUCCUUGUUGCACCCACAUCCCCGCUCAGCAUUGAUUGUUCCUUGGGUCGUAUUAUAUCCGAGUCUUUGGCUGGAAGUUGUUAGUCUAACAUUCUAGAAUACAGAAAUACAAGAGAAAACGAGGCCUUGAAUCUGAGAACUGGGCUUGGGAUUAAGAAGUCAGGGCUGGAUUUCAGCACAUGGAAAUGGCAUGAUUGGCCUCCAGGCAGAAGCCACUGCUGACCGGGAGAGUCUGGUGAGGUCCCAGGUGGAUGAUUUGCUCCAAAUUGUUGAGCAUGAGAUGCAGUUAAUUUCCUGAUGACAUGACCUUGUGAACACAACACCAGCCGUGUCCUGGAAGGUUACUUCAAGGGAACAUUUGGGCCCUAAUACUUCAUUCAUGAACGUUGUCGGUAGAGUGACAUCAUGUCCAUAGACUUGAGGAAACACACAGGGACUUGCACUGCCACCGUGGAAAAUUUCACCAAAAAUCGAUAUUGAUGCUUGGAGAGAAGAGUGUGAGUCCCGUCGGGACAGGUUACACCGUGGGACAAGCAACUUGAAAAUCUCAGUGAUUUGAAAGAAAAAUCAUUAUUUUUUGCUCUUGUCACUUGUACAUAAAAUUUGACCUGGGGGCUCUGCUCUGUGGUGUCCCCCAGGACCCAGGUAGGGGGCUCGGACGCUGUGGACACACAAGACUCUUGCAGGCUUGGAAGCUUUCACCUGGAGCUGUUGUGCUGGUGGUUUCUGUUUACAUUCCAUGCGCUGGAGGAAGUCGCAUGGCAGAUGCUAGAGGACCAGCAUGGGAGAGCUGUUCUAGCAACCAGGACAUCUGCCACUGCGCCCCACCUUCUCCAGGAAACAAGGACACCUGCACACACGCCCACUCGAGAGUCGGUGACCAGCCUCAGCUGUGGGGUUCUUGUAACGCGUGUUCCUGGUGGGGUUCUCCUUCCUGUCCUUCUGAGCUAUGUGUGGAUCAUGCUCCCCAUGCGUGGAGCCCAGGGACUGCCCACCAGUGGGACCAGGAAGUCUGUCUUUCAGAGAACUGGGAAGAUUACCUUCCACUUUACCCGUGUCUGGGAGACUAUAAACAUGGGUUCCACCGUCUCGGACAAUGAGACGAUUCCCAGUCUUUGCCUGUCGCUCCUCUAGGAGAUGUGGCGAUGGAACACUUUUCCAGUACGAUUGUUUCCCGCUCUGAAGAGGUG